rnacentral:rRNA from 1 species
AUGCGCCGCCUACCAUGCAAGUCGAACGAGCGAGAGAGAGCUUGCUUUCUCAAGCGAGUGGCGAACGGGUGAGUAACGCGUGAGGAACCUGCCUCAAAGAGGGGGACAACAGUUGGAAACGACUGCUAAUACCGCAUAAGCCCACGACCCGGCAUCGGGUUGAGGGAAAAGGAGCAAUCCGCUUUGAGAUGGCCUCGCGUCCGAUUAGCUGGUUGGUGAGGUAACGGCCCACCAAGGCAACGAUCGGUAGCCGGACUGAGAGGUUGAACGGCCACAUUGGGACUGAGACACGGCCCAGACUCCUACGGGAGGCAGCAGUGGGGAAUAUUGCACAAUGGGGGAAACCCUGAUGCAGCGACGCCGCGUGGAGGAAGAAGGUCUUCGGAUUGUAAACUCCUGUUGUUGAGGAAGAUAAUGACGGUACUCAACAAGGAAGUGACGGCUAACUACGUGCCAGCAGCCGCGGUAAAACGUAGGUCACAAGCGUUGUCCGGAAUUACUGGGUGUAAAGGGAGCGCAGGCGGGAAGACAAGUUGGAAGUGAAAUCUAUGGGCUCAACCCAUAAACUGCUUUCAAAACUGUUUUUCUUGAGUAGUGCAGAGGUAGGCGGAAUUCCCGGUGUAGCGGUGGAAUGCGUAGAUAUCGGGAGGAACACCAGUGGCGAAGGCGGCCUACUGGGCACCAACUGACGCUGAGGCUCGAAAGUGUGGGUAGCAAACAGGAUUAGAUACCCUGGUAGUCCACACCGUAAACGAUGAUUACUAGGUGUUGGAGGAUUGACCCCUUCAGUGCCGCAGUUAACACAAUAAGUAAUCCACCUGGGGAGUACGACCGCAAGGUUGAAACUCAAAGGAAUUGACGGGGGCCCGCACAAGCAUGGA